AUCGCUUCUCGGCCUUUUGGCUAAGAUCAAGUGUAAUAUCUUGGUUAUUACUGGCUUAAUAUGGCCUUUGACAUGUAAUAUGAAGUAAAAUAAUGUUUGACAAAAUCAACAUAGAAGAGAUUUGGAGGCCCAAAAGUUAUGACUGCUUAUGUAGUUUUGUUAGUUUUAAUUUCAAUGAGCAGUUUUGC